UACAGAGGGUGCAAGCGUUGUUCGGAAUUAUUGGGCGUAAAGGGAGUGUAGGCGGCUAGGAAAGUCUUCUGUGAAAUCUACGGGCUCAGCCUGUAACGUGCAGAGGAAACUAUCUGGCUAGAGUGUCGGAGAGGAUAGGGGAAUACCCGGUGUAGAGGUGAAAUUCGUAGAGAUCGGGUGGAACACCAGUGGCGAAGGCGCCUGUCUGGCUGACAACUGACGCUGAGACUCGAAAGCAUGGGGGAGCAAACAGG
rnacentral:rRNA from 1 species